CAGUUCAGAACAAAGUAUUUUUAUACCUCUUACAUCUUGAAUCAUAAAGGCCAAAUUUUUUUUUUAUAUUUUUUCGUUUUGUUGAUCCAAAUAUAAUCGAUUACAUAUUCAACUCUUUUUCUACAGCAAAAUAGCAUCAUGUCGGUUCCAGUUCGUGGUAAUAAGGCCUCAAAGCUGAGGUCCGAGGGAAAAGUUGAAAAGCCCGCACCCAUUGCGGUGAAUCAUUUUACCGUGGUACUUGUAAAUGCUAAACAUUUUCCAUAGGCUCUUUCUUCCACCCGAGGCAAAGCCUUUUUAUCGUGGCUCCGAACCCACCAGUCGCGAUACCAGUCCCAGUCGCAUCCCGACCAUGCGCAGACCCAGAUCAAUCCCGACCAAAUGUAUACCUAUCCGCAGGCUGGCGGGUGACCCGAAGAGAAACACUUCCCCAGUUCGGAGUGGCCCGAGGCAGUAACCAGUGCCAGUGCGUGUUCCUUGCUUUUGCUUCUAGCCUCCGAGAAUACAGUGGGCGAUGAUGAACGUAAACCUGAAGUGGACAAGGACUCUGUCAAGCGGACUAAUGUUUGCCGCGCCCAAGGGCUAAGUCGACGACAUAAGCUGUAUUCCAGCCGUCCUCUAGAAAGGAAAAAUCGCAUCGAUUUGAACAAGGUGCGAGCCUUGGAGAUGCAGCACAAGAAGCUGAUUUGGUCGAUCCCUUUUUCCGGCUCUGUGUGAAUAUCAUGCAUUUAUUCUGGAUGCACCUGAGCUUUUCUGCCUGCAUUUCUUUCAUAUUGAGUAAUUCAAUUACUCUAAUCCGCAAAUAUGGGUGAUGCUGCAGAGUACCAAAAGCUUAGGCGUAGCAUGGAUGAAGCCCAAGGAUCCAGAAAAGGACAUUAGUUUAUUUAUGUACAGCGCCGAAGGAGAAGAUAUGAAUGUUCCUAGAUCAAAUACAUAUUGAAUUUGCCUAAACGAUCCUGUAAUUUAAAAAGAUCACCAUAAACUGCAAAGUGAAGUUCAAG